rnacentral:Y_RNA from 1 species
GGCUGGUCUGAAGGUCGUGAGUUAUCUCAAUUGAUAGUCCAGUCAGUUACAGAUUGAACUCCUUGUUCUACGCCUCCCCCUCCUCACUACUGCACUUAACUAGCCUUAA